rnacentral:lncRNA from 1 species
AGGCAAGUAAAUCAGUAAGGGUGGUCCCUGUCGGGACACUGGUUGAGAAAUACCCAGGGACACUCUGGUUGUGAAAUACCCAAAGUGCAAAGUGACAGGGACUAGAGGCAUCUCCACUGGACCAGAGAGCUCUGGAUUCAUCUUGAGCUAAGUCUCUGGAGACACAGAGGGAUUGAAAUGCAUAACAAUAGAGAUGAAACAUGAAGAGUGAUAAAUGAAGAUUGAGUGUGCACACCUUCUGGAGGAGCCCUGAUUGAGUAUUUUAACACUCCACGAAGAGGCCUUGGCUAGCUGCACAUCUCCCUACAUGGGUAUGUCAAGAUCACCGACUCUGCUUACAGCAGUUCCCAGAUGAAACUCUUCAUAAUUUCAGACGCACCUUUAAUACCAGUGAAGGUUUACCUCCAGGCCCACAGUCUGGGUCUUUCCAGAGACACUCACAGCAAGAUGUCACCUGCUUUUUGAUGUCAUCAGAGUCAAACACAAACACCCACCACUGUGGUUUCCAUGUCUAAUUCGCAAAUGGCUUUAACUUUGAGCUGGCCCACAAUGUUGUAUUAACCCCACUCAGGUAUCAUCUUUCUCUGUGGGUGAACCCAUAGUGACCUUUCCUUCUGAUUCUUCUUUUACUCUAAGGGCAUGAUUUUGGCAAACUGUCUAUAUGUUCACUGGAAACAACUUCAACUUGCUUUUAUGUUGAUUUCACUUCUCCACUUUCAAUGCAGAAAGCUAAUCAGCAAUGCCCUAGGUUACUAAGAGAGGACAAUUCUUUCUUAGCCCAUUGAAUUAUGAGCAUUUUCUUGGAAAUGCAGCAAAAAUGUGUUCUGACAGAUGCCUUUGGGUCCCUUGGGUUCUUUGCUAAGACAGAUAUAGAGAGAGGGCUCAAUAAGGUGGGGCCUGUGAUGGGACAUUGCUUUUACUGCACUGGUGAUAGAACAAAAGUCAGACAGGGCACAACACAUACUGAUACAACCAAUCACCCAGUCACACUGCAGCCUUAGGAAACCCGUGAGCUUGUGGCAGCAGGCAAACUUGCUUCAGAGUUCCAAGAAUCCAAAUGUUCCUGGUGUGUCUGUUGUCUUGCGAUAUAGACUGAGAUCACAGGAUUGAAGAUACUACCAGAGUCAUGCUGUUGAAAGAGACUGGCUGAG